GACUGCCAAUCCAAAAGACCAGUCUGUGCUUGGUACACAGGAAAAAUAGGAGAGUAAUUUUUUCGGAGUUAACAUUAUUUUCAUCUGAAAGUGUCAUUUUUAUACAUUAUAGAGUGAAAUCAUUUCAAUUGGUCAAUAGAAUCGGAACAAAAAAAUAGAGUAAAUCAUAACAGAGUAAAACAAGAACACGCCCACUGAAGUUCCUUAAGUUUCGUUUCUUCCACCAUCUUGUUAUCCCGCAUUGGAACGGAGGCGACGGUUAGCUGUGUGCCAGGAUGCAAGCUGUGCGUGUCAAAUACAGAGAUCGACAGAAAUACAUCUGUUUUGAAGGCCAGCUGACAUACAGUUCUUUUUUGGAAUGUGCUGCAAAAAAGUUCAGCAUCCCAACCUUGGACUUAAAAGUCUUUGAUGACUCGAAGACUGAAGUGGAUGAGGAGGUUUUUGAGCUCCUUUUGAAAAGUCCAAACCUUGGUGUGCUGGAAAUUUGUGAAGCACAAGAUCUCAAUCCAGAAGGUAAGUUGUUUUGAAGUGUCAUGUGCUUAUUUUUGUGAACUAU